rnacentral:lncRNA from 1 species
GCCACACACACACACACUGAUCAUUCUCUCCCGUCACCAACAUCGGCGACCAUUAACCACCUCUCGACCACUAAUGGGCCAUACACGCACACAAUCAUCAUUCUCUCCCGUCACCAACAUCGGCAACCAUUAGCCACCUCUCGACCACUAAUGGGCCACACACGCACACAGUUACCAUUCUCUCCCAUCACCAAUAUCGGCGACCUAGCCCCCUGUCCAUCGGAAUCUCCCUACUAACACCACCAUCAGUGGCCAACCUACUCUCUCUACUCAUAACCACCAAGGUCGGCGUUUUCCUCUAUAGUGUAUUCGGUAAUACUUAACCUGCGCACAACCGUAAAUUUCCCUUACUGACCACCAAGGCACGGCCACCUAUGUGUAAUUUUCCAGCAUGCACGCUCCACAAGUCUCCCUUUCCUACUCUCAAAUGUCCCAGCAUAACUCUACUCCCAACCCCAUUUUCCUUUCCCAUGCUUGCAUUAAUCCCAACCUCCCACUGCUCCUCGUUUCCCCCUCUACCUGCGGCAUACUCUAAGUGUUCCCACUCACACCGCCUUCCCCCCUCCAUCACAAACUCCACUCACACUGCCUACUCCUCCUAUUUUUCCCCCUUGCUGCUCACCCAGUCCUAAUCUCUCCCACGGCUUCAGAAAUCACACUCCACUCCCUCAUAGACCUCACUCACGCCGCAAAUCCUUCUCUCUCCCGGCCUUCACUCAC